AAAUGGGAGCAGGUGAAAACAUGAUUAUUUGAACAAAUCAAGAGCACGUACAGUAACUUACGAAAGUAUUCGAACACUUGUAGAAAUCUUUUACCACUAUAUUCUGUGUGUUAUACGAAAUAUCUCGAAGUUUCAGUAACAGUGUAAUGAGACCGGUUAUCACGGUUAUAUUGGUACAACUUGAAAUAAAUCUGAAAAUGUACAAGGAAGCUACAACGUAUUUAGUCAGUUUCAGAUUUAACAAAUAUAAUGAAGACAAUCAUGUCUCAUUAGAACAAUAACGAAAUUUUGAAGUGUUUUAUAUAACACCUAUAAGGUAUACAUAAAAAUUUUCUAUAUUUCACAACGUUCCACGUAAAAGAUGAAUUACGAUAGCAACUGCAAAUUACGAGUAGCUGAAAUGCAUUGACAAGUACUCAGAGAAGCAAGUUAACAUCUAUUCGUUAAUGAAAAUUUCGCAUAGUUGUUCAUAUACGAUAAGAUCAUUUCGCGUUUUUCAACAACAGAGGUACAACAAAACAGUGAACUAAAUGAGCUCGAAUCAAUAAUAAAGCACAUCUGCACAUACUUUAGACAUUUGUUUUAUUAGAACAAAUAUAAGGUUCAUUACAUUACAGAAGAAUCGCCAAAGAAGAGUUACCAAACUACUUAGAGGGGAGGAUGAAGUGGAAGGACAGAAGAAUAUCAGCAAGAUUCAGAUGUGGAAACAAGACCAAAGCAAGGGAAUACUGGAAAGAAGAGGGAGAAAAAAGAUGCAGACUAAAUAAAAGGAAAGAAGAAGACCUGAGACAUGUAAUAGAAGAAUGUGAAAUAACGGGAGGACCAAAGGACAUAGAAAAAACACUAAAUGAGACUGGAGAAGGAUUAACAGAACUAAAAGCAAUAAUAAAGAAGAGAAGGGCAAUACAAGACGGGGAAGAACGACAAGAAGGAAGUAUA
rnacentral:lncRNA from 1 species